GACGAACGCUGGCGGCGUGCUUAACACAUGCAAGUCGAACGGAAAGGCCCUGCUUGCAGGGUACUCGAGUGGCGAACGGGUGAGUAACACGUGGGUGAUCUGCCCUGCACUUCGGGAUAAGCCUGGGAAACUGGGUCUAAUACCGGAUAGGAGCCAUUUUUAGUGUGAUGGUUGGAAAGUUUUUUCGGUGUAGGAUGAGCUCGCGGCCUAUCAGCUUGUUGGUGGGGUAAUGGCCUGCCAAGGCGGCGACGGGUAGCCGGCCUGAGAGGGUGGACGGCCACAUUGGGACUGAGAUACGGCCCAGACUCCUACGGGAGGCAGCAGUGGGGAAUAUUGCACAAUGGGCGCAAGCCUGAUGCAGCGACGCCGCGUGGGGGAGGACGGCCUUCGGGUUGUAAACUCCUUUCGCUAGGGACGAAGCUUUUUGUGACGGUACCUAGAGAAGAAGCACCGGCUAACUACGUG
rnacentral:rRNA from 1 species